UGCCCUUCUCUGCUCCUCGACUUCUCCUUUCAUUCUCUAUCAAUCUCGUCUCUCAGAAAUUCUCUCUCGAUUUCUUGGUGUCUCUUCGUUUCAGGUGAGUUCGAUAGCCUCGAGUCCUUCGCGACCACCAGCGACCAGACCCACUCCGAGUGGCAUCCUCAGCCACAGCCUCGAACCUCAGCCUAUAGAUUGUCGGCAAGAGCAGCAGCAGACUCACAAGCAGACCCGACGGCCAACCGGCAAGCUCGAAAAUUUCUGAAGCCAAUCUACUACCAGGGAGUGAUCUGACCCUUCAAUUUUUCAGCAAAAUGUUGGUUCAGUGGUGUUGCCUUGUGGUAUCCUGAGCUGAGAAUUAAAGUGUUGUCGUUACAUAGGCCGUUGUUUGCUGUGGUUUUGACUAAAAUUGCUGGUGCUGGUGACUUUGGUUGGGUGCUGGAUGUCCUCUAGUGUUAAUCUUGUGUGGUUGUUUUGAGGGUGUGUUGGCUGUUUGGGAAUAUUGUGGCUAAAUUUAGUUGUCUGAGACUUUAGAUUCCAUCAACAAUGCCUCCUAGGAAGUCCACUCGAGUGAGGUCAAGUAGGAGAAUAACCGAAGUGUUUGUGAACAAAGAAGCUAAAGAUAUAUACGCUAUAGUUUUUGCACGGAAACCCUUGAUAAAUUGGAGGGAUUAUGAACCUAUUUUCAUAGAAGGGAUUGGGAAACUUUUCUAGCUGUGCCCGAACCGGCCGUCAUCCCUGUAGUUUGAGAGGUCUAAGCCAAUUUGGUAGCACCGAGAAGACGAGGUCAUGGUUAGGGGAUGACCGGUUGAUUUCUCUCGAAAGUCCAUCAAUGAGUUUUACGAGAUACCAGAUGAGGGUGAUUAUUAUUACUCAACGUUCCUCAACCAUCAUUGUGAUAGAACUGUCAGAAUUGGGACUCCGUAUGGCUGUUGAGUAAAGAUGAUGAAUCUCCCCUGUCUAUUCCAUCAAUUAAGCCAAAGCUUAAAGCAUUGAUGCACUUUGUCUCAUCCCCGUCUCUACUCUAUACUUUACUUGAGUGGAUGUAUAUAAGCACGUGUAUUGUGCAGAGUCUGUAAUUUAUUCUUUAUUUCUUUGUAAAUUUGCGAAUAAAGAUCUCGACCAUAGGAUUAAACAAACUUGACUCUAAGAAUAAAAGGUCUUAGAACUAUUAGGAGCCCAAGAGGGUACAAAAUGGGCGAGUUAUUGGUUUGCAGGCCUCUAAUCUCGUAACAAAGCAUCCGGACUCAUUUCUGUGGUUAGAAGACCAAGUCAAACUCAAAUCCUUAGGCGGUCGGUAUCUUGAUCCCACAAGUGACUUAGGUGGCUCAGCAGUCAAAUAAACGGUGUAGUGACGGCUCCAAUCCAAUUAGGUCCCAGGCCACACGAAGUAACCGAAUUUUCAUGUUCGUGGCGGAGGCCUAAAAACCAUGCCGUGCGACACUACAUAAGAAGAUUGGGAGCAUGCUCAUUCGGUUUUGUGUUUUUGAAGGUUUUCUUUGUUGUUACCAUGCGAAUUUUAGGUACCUCUUAUGUUACUAAUAACAGGUACAUGAAAGAAGUAUUUGGCAUAGGGAUUAAAAUCAACUCCUAUUGUAGUUCGAGUGAUGAAUAUCCACUUGAUGGCUAGCAGAAUGAAGGUAUAAGAAGUACUAGGGAGAUCCUGAUGAUAUCAAUAUUUGUUGAUAGCUGUGGUUCUCGAUCCUAGGCAAAAAUUGAAGUAUGUCACUUGGUUUGUCAAUCACUUUGAUGAGGCUAUGGCAGCAAAUUGAAAAAGAAGUUGGAUUCUAGUUUGACAUAAGUUUAUGAGCAAUAUGAGGGUCUUGGCGGCAUAGAGUCUUCAAGUGCUCAGCAAGAAAGAGCAAUUGCAGUAGAGGAGGAUGAUCCUUAUUGUGAAGGGUUAUAUUUAUAGUCGACUGGGCAAAGAUCGGUAAGAAGUUCGAGCUUGAGAAGUACUUGAAUGAAGAUUGUAAACCAUACCAAAGUGGUGUGAGUUGGAUAUGUUAAGCUGGUGGAAGGUGAAUUCAACUCGAUUGCCGAUCCUUGCUAGCAUAGCUCUGGAACCUGUCUCAACUUUAGCCUUCGAGUCUCCUUUUAGCAUGGGAGGAAGGGUACUCAAUCCUUAUCGUAGUUCCUUGACACCCAGAAUGGUGGAAGCUCUUCUUUGCACCCAAGAUUGGAUGAAGACUAUGCCCUUUUCAUUGUUGACAGAAGAGGACUUUUGUGGAGCUUGAAAAAUUUGAGCAAGAUAUUCGUUAAGGUUCUAAUAAUUAUGGAAUAUCCUUUUCCAGUUUCUUAAUGGGUCAUGUUUUAAUUUUUGUCAAGUAACGAGAGCUUAUGCUUUCUUUCAUUUCGUUUUUUUACGGAGGUGGCAUCGGCAUCUCAGCCGGAAGCAGCAAGUUCGGGCUAUAUAACUAUUGACGAAGAUUGAGCAUGUGGAAGAGAGAGGCGUUCUGGCCGGAAUCACGUGGAGAAUGGGGAUCUGGCUAUUUUCCGAGCAUGUGGAGAACGUGGAUCUAAGUCUCGUGCUUCAUAGUUGAUAUUGGGUUUCUUAUUAUUUUGAAUCUAGAUUGAAAUAUCAUGGCUUUUUGUGGAUCGGGAUAUUAAUCGUUUCGCAACUUUUGAUUUCAGGAUAUUAUUGUUUAUGUAUUUUGGGACUAGAUUUGUGACUUGGCAAGUUGUGACUUCGUGUUCGUGUUGCCAACUUAAGUCUUUUAACUGUUAUGCCCUAUGCGGCCUUGGACUUUGUUGAGCAUUGCUUAAUGCUUAUUUCUAUGUUCUUAUUUUAA